GGGGCCUUAGCUCAGUUGGUAGAGCGCUUGCAUGGCAUGCAAGAGGUCAGGGGUUCGACUCCCCUAGGCUCCACCA
rnacentral:tRNA from 21 species